GUAGUCCACGCCGUAAACGAUGUCUACUAGCCGUUGGGAGACUUGAUUUCUUGGUGGCGCAGCUAACGCACUAAGUAGACCGCCUGGGGAGUACGGCCGCAAGGUUAAAACUCAAAUGAAUUGACGGGGGCCCGCACAAGCGGUGGAGCAUGUGGUUUAAUUCGAUGCAACGCGAAGAACCUUACCAGGUCUUGACAUCCUCGGAACUUUCCAGAGAUGGAUUGGUGCCUUCGGGAACCGAGAGACAGGUGCUGCAUGGCUGUCGUCAGCUCGUGUCGUGAGAUGUUGGGUUAAGUCCCGUAACGAGCGCAACCCUUGUCCUUAGUUGCCAGCACGUCAUGGUGGGAACU
rnacentral:rRNA from 1 species